CCUACGGGAGGCAGCAGUGGGGAAUUUUGGACAAUGGACGCAAGUCUGAUCCAGCCAUUCCGCGUGCAGGACGAAGGCCUUCGGGUUGUAAACUGCUUUUGUACGGAACGAAAAAAGCUCUUAUUAAUACUAGGAGUCCAUGACGGUACCGUAAGAAUAAGCACCGGCUAACUACGUGCCAGCAGCCGCGGUAAUACGUAGGGUGCAAGCGUUAAUCGGAAUUACUGGGCGUAAAGCGUGCGCAGGCGGUUAUAUAAGACAGAUGUGAAAUCCCCGAGCUUAACUUGGGAACUGCAUUUGUGACUGUAUAGCUAGAGUACGGCAGAGGGGGAUGGGAAUUCCGCGUGUAGCAGUGAAAUGCGUAGAUAUGCGGAGGAACACCGAUGGCGAAGGCAAUCCCCUGGGCCUGUACUGACGCUCAUGCACGAAAGCGUGGGGAGCAAACAGGAUUAGAUACCCUGGUAGUCCACGCCCUAAACGAUGUCAACUGGUUGUUGGGUCUUCACUGACUCAGUAACGAAGCUAACGCGUGAAGUUGACCGCCUGGGGAGUACGGCCGCAAGGUUGAAACUCAAAUGAAAUUGACGG
rnacentral:rRNA from 1 species